rnacentral:rRNA from 1 species
AGCAAGGCCUUGGGCGUGAAGAACCAGAAGCUUUCCACCUACGAGAAGGAGUUCUUGGCGGUGAUGAUGGCCGUAGAAAAAUGGCGCUCCUACGUCCAGCGCGGGCCGUUCACCAUCGUCACCGACCACAAGUGUUUGUGUGCACUCGGCGAUCAGCACCUGGUGACCGACGUCCAGCGCCGCGCCAUGUCCAAGCUCGUCGGCCUUCAAUUCAAGUUCCAGUACAAGCGCUGGGUCGACAACGGCGCCAUGGACGCACUCUCGCGUGUGGGAAGCCACUUCAGCGCGAAUUCGCUGUGCCUGUGCCAGCCUGCGUGGAUCCAGGAGGUGGCCAACUCAUACGCUAUGGACCCCGACGCCCAAGAACGACUACAGCAACUCUCUGUGCAUAGCCCGGACGACGACGAGUACGAGCUGUAUCGCGGGGUCAUCCGUCGCCACGGGCGGCUGUGA